rnacentral:rRNA from 1 species
AACAAAUAUUAAAGGCAACGCCUGCCCAGUGAACAAUUAAACGGCCGCGGUACCCUAACCGUGCAAAGGUAGCAUAAUCAUUUGUCUAUUAACUGUAGACCUGUAUGAAAGGCAAAAUGAGGGUUUAACUGUCUCUUAUAAUAAAUCUAUUAAACUGAUCUACUAGUAAAAAAGCUAGAAUACCAACAUAAGACCAGAAGACCCUGUGAAGCUUAAACUAAACUAUUAAACCUAAUAAUAACUACUUUCGGUUGGGGCGACCUUGGAAACAAAAAGAACUUCCAAACAAUAUGAUAUGUCACAUUAAGGCCUACGAGCCAACAAACGACCCAGUAUAGCUGAUAAUUGAACAAAGUUACUCCAGGGAUAACAGCGCCAUCUUCUUCAAGAGCCCAUAUCAAAAAGAAGGUUUACGACCUCGAUGUUGGAUCAGGACAUCCUAAUGGUGCAGCCGCUAUUAAAGGUUCGUUUGUUCAACGAUUAAUGUCCUACGUGA